rnacentral:rRNA from 1 species
ACAGUCACACAUUAGACUACCCUGUAGUCCUAGCCGUAAACGAUACUCGCUAGGUGUCGGCCACGGUGCGACCGUUGUCGGUGCCGUAGGGAAGCCGUGAAGCGAGCCACCUGGGAAGUACGGCCGCAAGGCUGAAACUUAAAGGAAUUGGCGGGGGAGCACCACAACGGGUGGAGCUUGCGGUUUAAUUGGAUUCAACGCCGGAAAUCUUACCGGGACCGACAGCAACAUGAAGGCCAGGCUGAAGACUUUGCCGGAUUAGCUG